UGUAAGAAUUAAUGGUCGAACAGACCUAAAAUUUAAACUUCUACACCUAAAAAUUAUCUUAAUCCAACAUCGAGGUCGCAAUCUUUUUUAUCGAUUUGAUCUCUCUAAAAACAUUACGCUGUUAUCCCUUAAGUAACUUAAUCUUAUAAUCAUAAAUUAUGGAUCAAAUCAUUUAUUAAUGAAAAAAAGUUUAAUUAAUUUUCCUAUCACCCCAAUAAAAUAUAAUAUAAAGCUUUAAAGGGUCUUCUCGUCCCUCAAAUCUAUUUAAGCUUUUUAACUUAAAAAUAAAAUUCUAAAUCAUUUAAAUAAAGACAGUUUAUAUUUCAUUCAAUCAUUCAUUCCAGCUUCUAAUUAAGAAACUAUUUAUUAUGCUACCUUUGUACAGUCAAAAUACUGCAGCCUUUUUCAAUGGGCAGAUUAGACUUUUUAUU
rnacentral:rRNA from 1 species